GAGGAAAUAUAACUUGCUGAAGGCAGUUACCUUUGUUCGAAGCCAACUGAGACAGCACCAGCCCUCAGUAAUUACAGCCAUACGGUUUCCAGGAGACUCCUCCUUCACCAGACCUGUCGUCUCAUGUCCCCAUUUGUAACGCUGUUCAUUAUAUUCAACCUGCUGCCGUCACUCUGGAGCUUUCAAAAGUGCCUCAAGUUGGACUGUAAAAGGGGCUAAAGGAGUUUGUGCUGCUCUGUCCUGAGGCAGGAUGGAGCCAUGCUCCAUGUAAAGCUUUACACAUUCCUGGAAGUGUAAUGAAUGGAGACAAGAUCAAGCAACAAAACCUGAGACCUGAAUGUGACAAGAGCACUGAAAAACAGCUUCCAGAACCAGAACUCUUUAUUGCAGUGCUGUAACCUUCUGUUUUUUAUUGACUAUACAGUCAUUGCUAAAGCUGCUCCAGGGAAGCUCCCUCUGUGCUAUUGCAGACCUGGAUCAGCAUGGGCACCACAGCAUAGAAGACCACCUUUGCAGAAGAGGCUGUAUGCUCACGAAUUCCCCC